rnacentral:rRNA from 1 species
CCUACGGGAGGCAGCAGUGGGGAAUAUUGCACAAUGGGGGAAACCCUGAUGCAGCGACGCCGCGUGAGUGAAGAAGUAUUUCGGUAUGUAAAGCUCUAUCAGCAGGGAAGAAGAAAGACGGUACCUGACUAAGAAGCCCCGGCUAACUACGUGCCAGCAGCCGCGGUAAUACGUAGGGGGCAAGCGUUAUCCGGAUUUACUGGGUGUAAAGGGAGCGUAGACGGCUGUGCAAGUCUGAAGUGAAAGCCCAGGGCUCAACCCUGGGACUGCUUUGGAAACUGUGGAGCUAGAGUGCUGGAGAGGUAAGUGGAAUGCCUAGUGUAGCGGUGAAAUGCGUAGAUAUUAGGAGGAACACCAGUGGCGAAGGCGACUUACUGGACAGUAACUGACGUUGAGGCUCGAAAGCGUGGGGAGCAAACAGGAUUAGAUACCCGAGUAGUC